UUACGGCCAUAUCACUUGAAACACCGGUCUCCGUACGAUCACCGAAUUUAAGCAACGCCAAAUCUGGUCAGUACCAAGAUGGCCGACCGCUUGGGAAUACCAGGUGCUGUAAG